rnacentral:rRNA from 1 species
GGGUCCGAGUUGUAAUUUGCAGAGGGUGCUUUGGUGUCGGCCGUGGUCUAAGUUCCUUGGAACAGGACGUCACAGAGGGUGAGAAUCCCGUACGUGGCCGCCGGUCUUCACCGUGUAAAGCCCCUUCGACGAGUCGAGUUGUUUGGGAAUGCAGCUCUAAAUGGGAGAUACAUUUCUUCUAAAGCUAAAUAUUGGCCAGAGACCGAUAGCGCACAAGUAGAGUGAUCGAAAGAUGAAAAGCACUUUGGAAAGAGAGUCAAAAAGCACGUGAAAUUGUUGAAAGGGAAGCGCUUGCAGCCAGACGUGCCCGCAGUUGCUCACCUGGGCUCUCGCCCGGGGCAUUCUUCUGCGGGCAGGCCAGCAUCAGUUCGGGCGGUUGGAUAAAGGCCUCUAUCACGUAUCUUCCUUCGGGAUGACCUUAUAGGGGAGGCGCAACACGACCAGCCUGAACUGAGGACCGCGCAUCAGCUAGGAUGCUGGCGUAAUGGCUGUAAGCGGCCCGUC